GAGACUGUAAAAAAUAUUGGUCCCACCAUGGGGAGAGAACAAUCCGUUACGUUUGCUGUGGUCCGGGGAGUUACUAUGAGCGGUCCGUGCAUUAGCAAGAUGAUAAAAGUGCCGAAACGUUGUAGUGUGAUGGGCUGUACAAAUAACAAUGCUAAGAACCCAGAUUUUAUGUCCUCGCGCGCAAAAAAGCGAGGCAAUGAGGAGAAAAGAGUAGAUUCAGGCCAUUAAACAAUUAAACGUGAGUGGACCGUGUAAACGACCGGAUCCUGAAUCAAGACACCUCUAUAUUUGAAGUAAAUUAGUUAUUUAGUCAUCGAUCGGUGAUUGCAAAAACCAAAUGACACAAGGAAUGGCUGAAUGAAGAAACGCUGGGCCAAGUCCCUCUCCUUUGCUGCUGAUCUCAAAACAGACUCCUCCCUUAGGACUUGAGAAAAGCCAGGCUCCCUACUCCCAAGCCCAGGUCUCCACCGCAAUGAUAAUUUAUUGUUCAUGUUAAUUCAUUAAACAGUUGCCCGUAAUACAUGGAAACCUUUGGUCUCAGCUCUGAGGUAGGUAACUCAGGAGGACAUAAUUAUAUAUAAUUACCAACAGUAAGACACAUCUAUCCUAUCCAAACAUCCGAAACACAUUUUAACAAUUACAAACGUUUGCUCGGUUUUGCAAUCUGAAAUCUUUGCCGUUUUGGAGUUUCGGCUACAAUUUAUGCGGCCAUCAUGUUUAUAAUGGGCAGCCAUUGUCGCCCAGCAGAGACCCAUCCAAACGCGUGUCCCUCUGGAAGGUGCUGGGUGAUAUUUUGCAUUGCAAAUAAACUGGAUAUUAAUAAAA